GACGAACGCUGGCGGCGUGCUUAACACAUGCAAGUCGAACGGAAAGGCCCUGCUUUUGUGGGGUGCUCGAGUGGCGAACGGGUGAGUAACACGUGAGUAACCUGCCCUUGACUUUGGGAUAACUUCAGGAAACUGGGGCUAAUACCGGAUAGGAGCUCCUGCUGCAUGGUGGGGGUUGGAAAGCUUCGACGGUUGGGGAUGGACUCGCGGCUUAUCAGCUUGUUGGUGGGGUAGUGGCUUACCAAGGCUUUGACGGGUAGCCGGCCUGAGAGGGUGACCGGCGGCGGGGGGAUGGGGGGACGGAGGAGAGUGCGAGGGGGGGGGGGAGGGGAGAUGAGCGCAGAGGGGGCGGGAGCGGGAGGCAGCAACGCGGGGUGGGGGGUGGCGGCGUGCGGGUUGUAAGCCGCUGCCGCGGGGGAGGAGGCGGGAGUGACGGUAGGGGGAAGAGAAACGCCGGCGAACCACGUGACAGAAGCAGCGGGAAUAAGGGGAGGAGAACACGUAUGACC
rnacentral:rRNA from 1 species